UUGACAUCCCAUAAAGGAAGCAUAGCAAAGAGGAUUAAAGAUAGGCUAAGAAGAACUCUACACCUCAUCAUGAGUCACCUAGCUUAUGUGAUCAGGACAG